rnacentral:rRNA from 1 species
UGGGGAAUUUUGGACAAUGGGGGAAACCCUGAUCCAGCCAUCCCGCGUGUGCGAUGAAGGCCUUCGGGUUGUAAAGCACUUUUGGCAGGAAAGAAACGUCAUGGGUUAAUACCCCGUGAAACUGACGGUACCUGCAGAAUAAGCACCGGCUAACUACGUGCCAGCAGCCGCGGUAAUACGUAGGGUGCAAGCGUUAAUCGGAAUUACUGGGCGUAAAGCGUGCGCAGGCGGUUCGGAAAGAAAGAUGUGAAAUCCCAGAGCUCAACUGUGGAACUGCAUUUAUAACUACCGGGCUAGAGUGUGUCAGGGGGAGGUGGAAUUCCGCGUGUAGCAGUGAAAUGCGUAGAUAUGCGGAGGAACACCGAUGGAGAAGGCAGCCUCCUGGGAUAACACUGACGCUCAUGCACGAAAGCGUGGGGAGCAAACAGG